rnacentral:tRNA from 1 species
GCUCCGUUGGUGUAGUUGGUUAUCACCGUGGACUCUGAAUCCACUGACCCCGGUUCGAAUCCGGGACGGAGCUCUA